GGAUAACGCAGCGAAAGCUGUGCUAAUACCGCAUACGAUCUACGGAUGAAAGCAGGGGAUCGCAAGACCUUGCGCGAAUGGAGCGGCCGAUGGCAGAUUAGGUAGUUGGUGAGGUAAAGGCUCACCAAGCCUUCGAUCUGUAGCUGGUCUGAGAGGACGACCAGCCACACUGGGACUGAGACACGGCCCAGACUCCUACGGGAGGCAGCAGUGGGGAAUUUUGGACAAUGGGCGAAAGCCUGAUCCAGCCAUGCCGCGUGCAGGAUGAAGGCCUUCGGGUUGUAAACUGCUUUUGUACGGAACGAAACGGUCUUUUCUAAUACAGAAGGCUAAUGACGGUACCGUAAGAAUAAGCACCGGCUAACUACGUGCCAGCAGCCGCGGUAAUACGUAGGGUGCAAGCGUUAAUCGGAAUUACUGGGCGUAAAGCGUGCGCAGGCGGUUAUGUAAGACAGUUGUGA
rnacentral:rRNA from 1 species